GUGAGCUUUGAAAAUCACGACGAGAAGACCCUGCUACGUCUAGCAAUUAUUGACAGUGUAGUGGCGCCUCCCGGUAGCAAACAGCGGAACAAACACCUCAGCUACACCCGAGUCGGAGAGGUGGCUCCGCCCACAAAGCGCACCUGGACGGGGAGGACGUUCCCCGGUCCACGGGUAUAAAAGCCGCGUCCGCGCGCCCGUCCGUUCAGGCCACCCCCGCCGCUCAGCUUUUGCGAACGCAUCGCGAGGUCGCCUAAUCUUCGAGUUCCCGCCGCUCAGUUUAACCAGUUGCGAAACAUCCCACAUCGUGCGCUCGAUUUCGCUAGUUCUUAUCCGCACGCGGACAGUCAUUGCCAUGAAGGUUCAGAUAAGCCAUCGACAGGUCACUCGCGCUGACAAGGAGGCGAAAGGUCACAUCGGUGGGAACGCGAGCCGUGACCACGGAUCAAUCCCGACCUUGUUCCAGAAGCUCGCUGAAGCGGUGCCCAAAGCGGACCGCUGCAAGGAGCCCAGCAAGCUGGAAAUCCUGCAGGAUGUGAUCGACUACAUCUUCGACCUGGAGAUGGUCCUCGGUACGCAGCCGGCGAGCUGCCCCCCAUGCCAGAUAGCAUUCGAGAUGAGCCCGGCGACGUAGUCUCCUGGUUCCCGACCUCUCGACAGCGACGCUGAAGUCAAGACGUUCGCAGAGAAAAAGGUGACGUACGCCGACGAUGUCAUGGCUCUGCUCGCGCUUGGAGCAGCACCUUCACUGAGCCCUGCUUCGGCCGCCUACUUGUGACAUUCCGGGACUGAGCCAUCCGUCCGACGCCCCUGAUCUUGAAACAUCCUCGGGGCGCUUUUCAUUACCUGCCGUCCCGUCCACCACCGAACGUGCACUUAUUUCGAAGCAACCAGUGGCAACAUUCUCCAUGAGAACCAUGAGAGAAGUCUGCAAAUAUUGCAGACAAGGUGUACCCGGCAACUCUUAGAAACUCUUCAUCUGGUGCCCAGGAAUGGUAUGGCACACCGAAACUACUACGCUGCUAUGCUGUGGAAACAUAUGAGAAUGUACCUGGGAUCUGUAGAUGCUGUAAUUUGGUGAUCGUCGACGCACCCACAAGACCAUCGUGAAUGAAGAUGCCAAGAAGUGUAUG
rnacentral:lncRNA from 1 species